AGCACUAUAUUUAAACCUGUUGGUGGAAUUUCCUGACUGCCAUGGGUUACGCUGUAGUGCAAAAGAAUCUCCUCGCUCUAUAGAGCAUAGCUGACUUUGCUCUGUUCAGCUGAUGCUCCUCUGAAGCUAAGGAACAGAG
rfam:Opisthocomus hoazin contig39463, whole genome shotgun sequence.